GUUAUUAGUGGCCUGAGCACUAGUUGUGUACUGGCUAGUUAACAACAGUUAGCCUGUUAGCAUUAGUGUAAAAACAAAUGAUGGAGGAUACAGACACAGAGGUGGAUGUUAAAGUAAAUCACUGGAUUAAAUCACAACUUGUUUUCAUGUGGUUACAAUGACAGACUAGACUCGUAGAAGAGAUGAAACCUAAGUCUACUUUUCCUUUGAGAUGAACAGGAGGGACGUUGGUUAGAGGUGGAAAUGGCUCACGCUUUAGGCGGAUCACAGGAGGGACAGACUGACACCAAAACAGACACACACGC